GCUACCAUGGAAACAAGAAUGUCAGCCUUCUGGGGACCUUGCUCCUAGGGUCUCUCCAGACCUGAAGCUGCUGGUGUAGUUGGCAUGAGACCAACUAAGCUGGCUGUGGAGCUGGGUCUGGCAAGGGGCUGUGGACCAGGAGGGAGAUGAGGCCCUAGAGUUCAACGUGGACACGUAUGACCUCACCUCAGGUGGAUGAAGAGAUGCUAACAGAAGACCAUCAACCAUGCCACAACAUGCAGACAUUCAUACCACAGGAUAACGGGCUCAGCCCCUAUCUGGGAGGUCUGCCUCUUCUUCGAGCCUGCAGUUGAAGAAAGGACCAACAAGGCUGCCACAGGCAGCAUUUUAAAUUAUUUAUUAAAACAAGCACAAGUUAUGAGA